rnacentral:rRNA from 1 species
GUGUCAGCCGCCGCGGUAAUACGUAGGGUGCAAGCGUUAUCCGGAAUCAUUGGGUUUAAAGGGUCCGUAGGCGGUUUUGUAAGUCAGUGGUGAAAGCCCAUCGCUCAACGGUGGAACGGCCAUUGAUACUGCAAGACUUGAAUUAUUAGGAAGUAACUAGAAUAUGUAGUGUAGCGGUGAAAUGCUUAGAGAUUACAUGGAAUACCAAUUGCGAAGGCAGGUUACUACUAAUGGAUUGACGCUGAUGGACGAAAGCGUGGGUAGCGAACAGGAUUAGAUACACUGGUAGUCC